rnacentral:rRNA from 1 species
UACGAAGGGGGCUAGCGUUGUUCGGAAUUACUGGGCGUAAAGCGCACGUAGGCGGCUUUGUAAGUUAGAGGUGAAAGCCCAGGGCUUAACCCUGGAAUUGCCUUUAAGACUGCAUCGCUAGAAUUGUGGAGAGGUAAGUGGAAUUCCGAGUGUAGAGGUGAAAUUCGUAGAUAUUCGGAAGAACACCAGUGGCGAAGGCGACUUACUGGACACAUAUUGACGCUGAGGUGCGAAAGCGUGGGG